AAAGGGCCAGGCCGCCUGCGUGCCGGCGGGGGGCGCGGACACGCGUGGUGUGCGCGGUCCCCGUGCAGCCCGCCCUGCCGCAGGCUGCCCUCCACCGCCAGCCCCAGCUCCAGCCCCCAGCCCGUCCCCACUGCUCAUAUCCGAGCAGAUAGAGCCCGGCCCCACCCUCCCGUGCUGAGCCUCCUUUCUGCCGGGAAGUUCGUCCAGGAGUCAAACAUCGCUGCCCUCCGGUUGCGCCACGGAGGGGGAGCCAGGAUAGGAAGCUGCCGUGAAAUCAGGAAGCUGAGCGCGCCGGGCCCCGGAUCCGAUCAGAAAAGGCUUCCACCCGCUCCCCUGAGGGAUCCCACGCUGAGGGACUGAGCCCCGCACCCCAGCCGCGCUCACCACCCCCACCCUCUCGCCUGGGCUGCUCUGACCUGGGGAUUCCAGAACUGCCACUCAAAGUGCCAUAUGAGGAGCUGUGGUAACAGGGUAAAAGGCAGGAGCCAUCCUUUGGAAGCCAUCAGCAAGCUCUGUGACCAUCAGAGCUAUUAUCUGUGAUCAUAUACACAACCUGAAGAUAGCAUAUCAUACUUUUUUUAAUACUUUCAACUCCAAAAGGCUUUGGGCUUGUAAAAACAUAGUUUCAAAGAUUUUUAUUUUAUCAGCCACCAUCUCCAUUUUUACCUAACCUUCCCAUAAAUGCAAGGAUAUGUUUUAGUUCUGAAACAUGAAAGUUAAUUUGAUUUUAUCCUGCAACUCUUGAGAACUGAUCUUUCUAGCCAGCAUAAAGAAAGUAUACUGACACAAAAAUCUUCAGAAAAAAUAUAGGAGGAUUAAAUACUCAAUUACUUCCAAGAUUGCUUACUCCUUUCCAAAGGGACUGCAAACCCCUUUCCAGAAGGAAAUUUCAAACUAAAAAAUUUUCUUUCAAUCAGAAGUUCACAGUGAUUUUACUGCCAUCUAAAGUAAAUUAACUUUGAAAAUAAGUAUAAAAAUUAUAAUUGUAAUUUAUUGAUUCAAAAUUUUGUAUUCGGCAUUCCUUCUCAAAAAUCGUAGUCCAAUACAAAAUUAGGCCAUGUGGAAAACAGUAAAGGCCUUUACUAGAUAUUCCUAGAAAAUACUGAAGCAAGUACUAAAUAAAAUAAAAAUAAGAUGUUUUUGAAGGGAGAAUCUCGUAUACUGAAUUUUAAUUAGUGUAUGUUUAACGAUAGCAUUUUUAAUGAGUUUUAACUCUAACAUUUUAUGAACAAGCUAAUGUAUGUAACAAUAUCAAGAAGCUGCUGCUACUUGAUAAAUCAAAUUUUAAUUGUACUGAUAUAAAAAAGGAAAUCUAAAAGAAACUUUAGAGCCCUCAAAUGGUAGCUUCUUGACCAAUGAAUCAUUAUGUUUUUCAUGUUCACAGUUCAGAUAAGCUUAAAAAUGGAAAUGGGAAACCUCAACCAAAGGAUAAACAAUUUUUACACUAAGUUACUAUUAAAAAGGCUUUCUGAAAAUAUUUCUUUCUACUCUGUAUUGGCUCUUAAGAAGGUUAAGAAUAGAAAAUCACUCUGUUAAAGAAGAGUAAUAACAAAUAACCUAUGGGAUCAAAACAAGAGAACAACUGUUGCAGGUCUUUUACCUGUAUAAUUCUAAGCAUAAUCUUUUAUCAGCUUUCCAUUUUUAGGACAUUCUUAGGAACAGAAUGCCCCUUAUCUGAACUUUAUCAGAUCAUGUAGAAAUAUAUUUUUCAGACAAAUUUAACAUUUGAGUUUUGUAUGUCAGUAAUAUACUCCUUUAAAGACAGGGAAGCGCCAUUCAUACUCAUUCAUUCAGAAAGAUGACAAAGAAAAUGUUUUCAAUAAAUCAUUAAUGAAAUAUUUCUCCAACAUACAUAGCACAACUGAGAUUCACUUCCAAUCAAAAGCAAUAACCCUCAUGCUGGACAGUUAUCUUUCACAUUUUAUAUGAUAGAAUUAUGAUAAAAAUAGGUUUUGAAGCAGCCUUAGAUAAGAAUAUAACUAAAAGUAUGCCAAAGGAUUUAUUUAGAAUUUUCAGAUAAUAAAAAGGUAAGUUUUUGGUUGUGCAAUGCACAUCCAUGUAAAUAUAUUUGCUUUUUCAAAAGCAAAUUUAGUAUUCUUAAGUUUCCUGAGUGACAAUCUCAUAAAUUUUGGUGGAAAUGACAGCAACAUUGGGUUAUUUCAAUUAUGCAUGGAGACCUCAUAAAAUGAGUUUUUAAAAUGCUCGCUCAACAGCAGGUCACCUGUCUCUAUACAACAUCAGAAAAUAAUAGUACCUCUCUCAAAAUUGCCUCAAAGAGCAACAGUAAGAGAAAAAAACAACCAUGCAAUGGUUUACUCAAACUGCUUUCCCUGUUGAGGGGGUACAGUAACUGAAUAGUCGUCUAUGAACAAUUUUUACAUGUUCAUCAAUAGUUUAUGUUCCAAUCUAGUUUUGGUAAAGUCAGCACUCGAAUUUGACAGGGGCUUAAAUAUGCCGUCAUCUUUUCUGAAGAUGACGGCAUAUUUUGAAAACAAUGUAUAAGUUUUAAGUUUUUUAAGUCCCAUUCUUCCAAUUCAGGAUAUAUGCUGAAUGCUGAGGCAGUUGUUAGACCUUAUAAGUUACUAUGAUAUUAGAAAUUAAUAAUAAAAAUAAAGCUGACAGAAUUUUAUCAUUAAACUUGGUUUAACUAUACCAUCUUUCUUAUGAACAGCGCUUCUCUGUUUAAGAAAAGCUCAUCUCUGAAUUAUGCCUACUCACAUGAAAAACUGGGAACCAUUGGUAUGUUUCCCUCGAUUUGCCAUUGAUAAAAGGAACGCUCUGUCAUGUUUGAGAAUAAAGUUUUCAUCUGUUUGAAGAAAA